rnacentral:rRNA from 1 species
UGGGGAAUAUUGGACAAUGGGCGGAAGCCUGAUCCAGCCAUGCCGCGUGUGUGAAGAAGGCCUUUUGGUUGUAAAGCACUUUAAGCGAGGAGGAGGCUACUCUAGUUAAUACCUAGAGAUAGUGGACGUUACUCGCAGAAUAAGCACCGGCUAACUCUGUGCCAGCAGCCGCGGUAAUACAGAGGGUGCGAGCGUUAAUCGGAUUUACUGGGCGUAAAGCGUGCGUAGCCGGCUGAUUAAGUCGGAUGUGAAAUCCCUGAGCUUAACUUAGGAAUUGCAUUCGAUACUGGUCAGCUAGAGUAUGGGAGAGGAUGGUAGAAUUCCAGGUGUAGCGGUGAAAUGCGUAGAGAUCUGGAGGAAUACCGAUGGCGAAGGCAGCCAUCUGGCCUAAUACUGACGCUGAGGUACGAAAGCAUGGGGAGCAAACAGGAUUAGAUACCCUGGUAGUCCAUGCCGUAAACGAUGUCUACUAGCCGUUGGGGCCUUUGAGGCUUUAGUGGCGCAGCUAACGCGAUAAGUAGACCGCCUGGGGAGUACGGUCGCAAGACUA